UUUGCGUGUGUGAAAUUUUCACCAAUUUUAUGCACGAAUUUCGGCGUAUUUCAUUGACGAUUCCCAACGGGACGGGACGGGCGAGUUAUUCCCAGCUCCCAGACGAGGUCCUGUGAGAGAGGCACCAUUCUGCAGUCAACCACAGUUUCUGAAUCUAAAACACGGAGAAGGAACGAACAGCCUAAACCGCCAGGAGCAGUAAGAAAUCCCAUCGAUGAUAGGCAACAAGGAGAGUAGUUAUUGUGAAUAUUUCAACUCUAGCACGUGUCAAUCCUCAGUGAUUGUUGCCUUCAUAUAUUACUGGCGUUACGCGUGCAUGGGAAUAUUUUGCGGAUGAUUGCCUUAAAUAGCUGAAGCCCAAACAAAGCACUAUGCAACUGCCAAAAUCUGAUGAAGGUUGGCCUUUAGAUAAUGUGAAAGCUUCUUCGUUAACGCAAGUUUGCCUUUCCUGAACUAACGAAAUAAAGGCUAAUAGUACUUCACAAAAUAAGGUCGGGCGUACCAGGUACCAGUAGCGUAGUCAGAAAAUUAUUGUCGAAGGGGAGACUACAGGACUUUGCAAAGUUACGGUUUUGUGGGGGGUUAUCCCCACCAGCUUGGCUACUGCGUCCGCGAUAUUCGUGGACAAUACCUUUGACUAUUCUUAAGUUCUCAGUGGUUUAAACAUGGCCACGUCAAGGAAUAUUGAAUGUGUUUUUAUCGCUUGUCAUACAUGGAUCAGUUUCUUUGUCUUCUUUGCGAUUGCAUUUGACGGAGUUACUGGAGAGAAAUGUUAGCAUGUGCAAGUUUCAGCAGACAGCUCUGAUAUGCAUCUCAUGAAGUCCCCCUCUCCUUUUUUCCCCCCUCCCUUUUAUACAGGCAUAAUGGAAUGAACCAUGAUUGAACUGGCAAGUUGCUCAAGGUUGGGCUGGUUGUUUACGGCUCUCAAGUACCUUACUGCGGAUGUUGUUGAUCAGUGUAGUUGGUGACUAGGGUUCCAGGUUGCCGGGUGAGGGUGAGUCCGCUCCAGUGACUGUUUGAUGGGACUUGUGUCCUUUUGUGCUAAGGUAUCUUGUGUUGCAGACUACUAGCCCGCAUAUGUGGAACUGAGAAAUUAAAAAAAAUCACUUGUUAACAUGCCUGUGCUGUGUGCACAAGCUUUACAAAGAUCUGCAGUGCACCACCAGACUUCAGUGGACAAUGAUUGAUGGAUCCUUGCCACCUCCUUAAGGGGAAAAUCACACACUAGUGUAACUGAAGUAAAUAUGUCUAAACCAAGUACGUUAUACUGCAAACAAAAACUGAGAUUGAGGCAUGAUAGGUGGAUAAACCCUUCAGGGGGAAACUGAGAUAUAAAGGGAACUGUCUUCGCAACACUUGGGAAGUGCCAAACCGUUUACCCUCGAAUGCAGAAAGGAACGGAAUUAUCUUGACCGAAGAUACAAUCAUCCAUGCAUGCUUGUUGUCUUGCAGGAAAAAUGAACUUCGCUCUGCGCUGUUUAGCAAUGGGCUCCAAAUUUUAACAUAUGGGAAAGAACAGCUGCAUCAGUGGGAACGGAGGCUAGAGUGCUUACAAGGCUGCAUCCAAUAGAACAGAAUAUAGCCUUCACCUAGUUAGUUCCGUAAUGCUUAAGACCUUGGGUUAUGCUGUCUUAACUAGGGUAUUAUUCGUAGUUUGUCAUUCGAACUGGCAGCUUGGAGAGCAAACUACCCCAAAUUAUCCCUCGGUCAAAUACUGGUCCAACACUGGACCAGUCUUCGACCAAUGUUGACAAUAUCCAGCAAAUAUUUUGCCAAGAUGUUGUGCAUUUUUGGGUUGGAAUCAUCUCCUGCGUAUACAUUUCAGAGCUGUCACUUGUUCUACUAACGUCAGAUGAUAAGUUGGUUGCAAUGCACUUAUAAAAGACACAAAAGUUCUGAAUUCUCAGAACGUAAUAGAUUCUGAUGAACACCUUCUUGAAUAUGGGUAAAAGUAAAUCCGAAAACCCUGAAUCCUACUGAUGGCUCGUUGCACUCUAGGUGUAGAUUGAACCGAAUAUAAGUGCCACUGUGGCUUCGGUUCUCCUAUUGGUGUGUAAACAAAUUGCAUAAUACAGCUUCUGGCUUUCUACGACUCUGGCAUCACCGCCACAUGCAACUAUGUUGGAGAUGGGCUUUGGCUUAUUUGCCAGAGUAAUUGUGUCUUUGAAUAAAAUUUUUUAAUCU